rnacentral:lncRNA from 1 species
GACAAUUUUGAUUACAACUUAUGAAGGAACACAUAACCACCCCCUACCACCAGCAGCCAUGGCUAUGGCAUCAACAACAUCAGCUGCUGCAAUUAUGCUGCUUUCAGGUUCCAUGCCAAGUGCAGACGGAUUAAUGAACUCGAAUUUCCUAGCGCGGACUAUUCUUCCGUCUUCGUCAAGUGUGGCAACUAUUUCAGCAUCAGCACCGUUUCCAACUAUAACAUUGGACCUAACUCAAAACCAAAAUUCAAUAUCGUAUUAUCAUCAAAGAACUCAUCCAACUGCUCAAUUUCAGGUUCCUUUUCC